rnacentral:rRNA from 1 species
GCCUAGCCCUAAAUCUUGAUACUUCCACUACCAAAGUAUCCGCCUGAGAACUACGAGCACAAACGCUUAAAACUCUAAGGACUUGGCGGUGCUCCAAACCCACCUAGAGGAGCCUGUCCUAUAAUCGAUAACCCACGAUAUACCCGACCACUUCUUGCCAACGCAGCCUACAUACCGCCGUCGCCAGCUCACCUCCCCUGAGAGAGCCACAGUGAGCACAAUAGCCCACUACCACGCUAACAAGACAGGUCAAGGUAUAGCUUAUGAAGUGGAAGAGAUGGGCUACAUUUUCUAAAAUAGAAAACCCCACGAAAGGGGGCAUGAAACUGCCCCUGGAAGGCGGAUUUAGCAGUAAAGAGGGACAAUAAAGCCCUCCUUAAGCUGGCUCUGGAGCACGU